rnacentral:lncRNA from 1 species
AUGAUUGAUUAGCGAUUGUGAAUCAUUAUUGGAUCGAAUCGUCAAUAUGAUUGAUGAUUAAUCCAGUGGAAGAGUUGUAAUAAAAUAAUUCAUUAAGAGUUAGUGAGCUGUAGGAGGAUUAAUUAGCAAUUAGAUUGCUAAUUGACUCAAUUUGAUUGAGCAAUGGGGCUAGGGUCAAGUCUAAUUUGAUUGAAUUCAAUUUAGAUUGAUUUGGAUUUAAUUAGAUCAAGUCUCAUAAUCCAAUCUCAAGGGAGAUCAAUUUCUUAUUUAAUUAGGA